rnacentral:rRNA from 1 species
GGCGUAACGCGCUAUACAAUCUGCCUUUCACACUAGGGAUAGCCCGAAGAAAUUUGGAUUAAUACCCUAAUGGUAUAUAAGAGCGGCAUCGUUUUUAUAUUAAAGCUACGGUGGUGAAAGAUGAGUAUGCGUUCUAUUAGCUAGUUGGAGAGGUAACGGCUCCCCAAGGCGACGAUAGAUAGGGGUUCUGAGAGGGAUGUCCCCCACACUGGUACUGAGAUACGGACCAGACUCCUACGGGAGGCAGCAGUGAGGAAUAUUGGACAAUGGUCGGAAGACUGAUCCAGCCAUGCCGCGUGCAGGAUGAAGGUCCUAUGGAUUGUAAACUGCUUUUGUAAGGGAAGAAUAAGGGGUACGUGUACUUUGAUGACGGUACCUUACGAAUAAGCAUCGGCUAACUCCGUGCCAGCAGCCGCGGUAAUACGGAGGAUGCGAGCGUUAUCCGGAAUCAUUGGGUUUAAAGGGUCCGUAGGCGGGCUGAUAAGUCAGAGGUGAAAGCGCUUAGCUCAACUAAGCAACUGCCUUUGAAACUGUCAGUCUUGAAUGAUUGUGAAGUAGUUGGAAUG